UAUAUAAUUAUAUUUGGGAUGACUAGGGCGAGCGAAGCGGCAGCGGGAUUAGGGCGAGCGACGAGCUGCGGAUUAGGGCGAGCGACGGAGGCUCGGGCGAAGGAUGCGGGAUUAGGGCGAGAGACGAGCUGCGGAUUAGGGCGAGACGGAGGCUUGGGCGAAGGAUUAGUGAGCACGUUCCUCUCGCCAUGGGAUCCAAUUCAACACCCGCAGAAGAAUUUCAGCUUACAGAUUUCAAUACAUAUCUGUCAGAGGCUAUCACAAGUUUCACAAAUUGGGGGCGAGAGAUUAAAACCUAAAUCGAGCAAUAUGAAAAAGUAAAAAAAAAAUAAUAUUUAUAUUGGAUUGAUAAAUUACGAAAAAGACUGAACAAACAUAAAGCAUUAAAGAUGGAUUAUGAUAGAAUGUUGGAGGAAGUCGAAUAAAAAAAUGAAUUACUACUGAGCAUCAUUAUAAAUUUUAAUGAUACAUUUAGAGAGAAUGAAAUUUUUCUGCUGGGAAAUGAUACUAGUGAUAAAUCAUUUGAUGAUUUGCCAAAUGCAGCGAAUACAGUUUCUGAUGCAGAAAAGGAAGUUGUAAUUGUUGCUUCUGAAGAAAUAGAGGCAGAAACAAGUUGUGGAAAGAAGAGGAAGAGAAAGGAAUCAGCUGAAUGACAAUUGAAAUGGAGCUAAGGUGUUCUUUCAUUUCAGUUGUCAUUCAGUUGAUUUCUUCCUCUUCCUCUUUUUUUUCACAACUUAUUUCUGCCCCUAUUUAUUCAGAAGCAACUUCAGCUUCCUUUUCUGCAUCUGAAACUGUAUUCGCUGUACUUGGCAAAUCAUCAAAUAAUUCAUUAUUAGUAAGUAUCAUUUCCUGAUAGAAAAACUUCAUUCUCUCUAAAUGUAUCAUUAAAGUUUGUAAUGAUGCUUAGUAGUAAUUCAUUUUCUUGUUCGACUUCCUCCAGCAUUCUAUCAUAAUCCAUCUUUAAUGUUUUAUGUUUGUUCAAUUUUUUUCGUAGUUUAUUAAUCCGGCAUAAAUGUUGUUUUUCUACUUUUUCAUAUUGCUCGAUUUUAAGUUUUUAUCAAGAAGAAAAAAGAACACGUUUCGAGAUUAAUACAACCUUCAACUUUUUUCAUCUGGACUUAGGAAUCGACAUAGGGUUCGUUAUUUGUGCGUAGAACAAUGAAUAUUAUGUCGUAUUGCUUCUAAUCCAGUUUGAGAUUAGAGAAUGGGCUGACUCCUUGAUGUGUCUACAGCCGGGCUCCUUUGGUAAGUUGGACGUUCAGUAAGUUAGCUCUGUCAAGGUCGGCUUCUGUGGGAUCUUCUCCUAUCGAAUUGGCGUCUGUCGAAUCAGCUCUUGUCGAGCCAUUCUUUGCCAAGUCAGACUCUUUGGACAGGGUAACGUUGGCAUUCGAAUGAAACUUUUCGGAGGAUGAAGACGGAAAAUGUUAGGACUGGUUGAGCUAGAGGGGAUGAAUGACUCACUUUUAUUUUUGGAUUGACUUGAUUUUGUACAAUGAAAAUUUGAAGGUAAUGUUAACUUGUAUUUAUUUAGUAUAAUAUUCUAAAAAAGAUGACUA